rnacentral:rRNA from 1 species
GAUGAACGCUGGCGGCGUGCCUAAUACAUGCAAGUAGAACGCUGAAGGAGGAGCUUGCUCUUCUGGAUGAGUUGCGAACGGGUGAGUAACGCGUAGGUAACCUGCCUGGUAGCGGGGGAUAACUAUUGGAAACGAUAGCUAAUACCGCAUGACAACAGUUAUUGCAUGAUAACUGUUUAAAAGGGGCAACUGCUCCACUACCAGAUGGACCUGCGUUGUAUUAGCUAGUUGGUGAGGUAACGGCUCACCAAGGCGACGAUACAUAGCCGACCUGAGAGGGUGAUCGGCCAAACUGGGAAUGAGACACGGCCCAGACUCCUACGGGAGGCAGCAGUAGGGAAUCUUCGGCAAUGGACGGAAGUCUGACCGGGCAACGCCGCGUGAGUGAAGAAGGUUUUCGGAUCGUAAAGCUCUGUUGUAAGAGAAGAACGAGUGUGAGAGUGGAAAGUUCACACUGUGACGGUAUCUUACCAGAAAGGGACGGCUAACUACGUG